AGGCUACAGGAGAUGGUACUGAUGGUGCUUAGAGUAAGAAGACAGGUAUUGUUAACUUAGUAAGAAGAUGGGUGUUUGUGAUGUUUCCUAAGAGUAAGAAGAUGGGUGUUGGUGAUGUUCUCAAGAAUAAGAAGAUAGGUAUUGCUAACUUAGUAAGGAGAUUGGUGUUGGUGGUGCUCUUAAGAGAAAGGAAAUGGCUGUUGGUGAUGCUCUUAAGAGUAAAGAAAUGGCUGUUGGUGGUGCUCUUAAGAGUAAGGAAAUUGCUGUUGGUGAUGCUCUUAAGAGUAAGAAAAUGGCUGUUGGUGAUGCUCUUAAGAGUAAGGAAAUGGAUGUUGGUGGUGCUCUUAAGAGUAAGGAAAUUGCUGUUGGUGGUG